CCCUUAGAUGUUCUGGGCCGCACGCGCGCUACACUGAUGCAUUCAACGAGCCUAUCCUUGACCGACAGGUCCGGGUAAUCUUUGAAUCUGCAUCGUGACGGGGAUAGAUUACUGCAAUUAUUAAUCUUCAACGAGGAAUGCCUAGUAGGCGCAAGUCAUCAGCUUGCGUCGAUUACGUCCCUGCCCUUUGUACACACCGCCCGUCGCUCCUACCGAUUGGGUGUGCUGGUGAAAUGUUCGGAUCGGCCGUUUGUCGCGGUUUCCGCGGCUCGUGGCUGAGAAGUUCAUUAAACCCUCCCACCUAGAGGAAGGAGAAGUCGUAACA
rnacentral:rRNA from 1 species